GCGCUGAGCCCUGGGACUGCGCUGGGCCCCGGGACCCUGGGAGUAGGUGGUGCUCCAGGCCCGCGGGCGCGGGAGGCUGAGGCAGGAGGAUGGCCGCUAGUUCCAGCCAGCCUGGGCUGAACGAAAGUGUGUACACGUAUCUGAUGCAAGAAAACCAAACUGAAAAAAUGCACCCAAGCCAGGAGUGCUGACUUAACAAACGCCUGGGAUCACAACGCCCGCCGGGGAAGGCUGAGACAGGAGGAUUGCGAGUUCUGGGAGCGACACCCUGAAGAUCUAGUGGUCCCCAGUCUGCUCUGUAUCACGGAAGGAAACGUGAGGACCUUGUGGAUGGGAGCGCAGCUGUGGACGAUUUCCUCCCCUUGUCCUGCGCCUCAGGAAGGAGCACGGGAACACCCAUCACCACUUUCCUGAGCACUUCUGAGCUCAGAAUGAGCCCAACAGGCCAAACCUUUAUAUUCAGCUGUGGCUGUGGAGUCAGGACUGCUGAGUUGGACACAACACUGGGCUCUUUUUAGAAACACACUGGUUUUAGAGCCUCUCAGACCUGUUUACCAAGGGAAAGGAUGGUAGAAAACGUGCUGGUUACAGGGCCUGCUUGAAUCUCUAACACUGACUUCAGUGUCUAAGAUGAACAACUCCGGGUUCUGUCUCUGCUAUUUUCCCUUGUGCUGUUCCAGUUUGGGUCAAGUUUGUCAGCAACACAUCAGCAGUGGAUGGAGACAGAUUUCCUCAGUAGCCCGGACUUGCAUGUGUCCAGAUUCUCCAACUCACU